rnacentral:rRNA from 1 species
AUACGGAGGGUGCAAGCGUUGUUCGGAAUCACUGGGCGUAAAGGGCGCGUAGGCGGGUUGGCAAGUCAGAUGUGAAAUCCUACAGCUUAACUGUAGAACUGCAUUUGAAACUGCUAACCUAGAGUAUGGGAGGGGGAGAUGGAAUUAGUGGUGUAGGGGUAAAAUCCGUAGAUAUCACUAGGAAUACCGAAAGCGAAGGCGAUCUCCUGGAACAUAACUGACGCUAAGGCGUGAAAGCGUGGGGAGCAAACAGGAUUAGAAACCCUUGUAGUCC